rnacentral:rRNA from 1 species
AUUGAACGCUGGCGGCAGGCUUAACACAUGCAAGUCGAGCGGAGAUGAGGUGCUUGCACCUUAUCUUAGCGGCGGACGGGUGAGUAAUGCUUAGGAAUCUGCCUAUUAGUGGGGGACAACAUUCCGAAAGGAAUGCUAAUACCGCAUACGCCCUACGGGGGAAAGCAGGGGAUCUUCGGACCUUGCGCUAAUAGAUGAGCCUAAGUCGGAUUAGCUAGUUGGUGGGGUAAGGGCCUACCAAGGCGACGAUCUGUAGCGGGUCUGAGAGGAUGAUCGGCCACACUGGGACUGAGACACGGCCCAGACUCCUACGGGAGGCAGCAGUGGGGAAUAUUGGACAAUGGGCGGAAGCCUGAUCCAGCCAUGCCGCGUGUGUGAAGAAGGCCUUUUGGUUGUAAAGCACUUUAAGCGAGGAGGAGGCUACCUGGAUUAAUACUCUAGGAUAGUGGACGUUACUCGCAGAAUAAGCACCGGCUAACUCUGUGCCAGCCGCCGCUGUAACAC